UGCAGUCGAGGGGCAUCGGGAGUAGCAAUACUUGCCGGCGACCGGCGCAAGGGUGCGUAACGCGUGAGCAACAUGCCCGUAUCAGGGGGAUAAUCCAUGGAAACGUGGUCUAAUACCCCAUAGUAAUUAUGUAAGGCAUCUUAUAUAAUUUAAAGCUUUGGUGGAUACGGAUUGGCUCGCGUGACAUUAGCUGGAUGGUAAGGUAACGGCUUACCAUGGCUACGAUGUCUAGGGGUUCUGAGAGGAAGGUCCCCCACACUGGAACUGAGACACGGUCCAGACUCCUACGGGAGGCAGCAGUGAGGAAUAUUGGACAAUGGAUGGAAAUCUGAUCCAGCCAUGCCGCGUGCAGGAAGACGGCCCUAUGGGUUGUAAACUGCUUUUGUAUGGGAGCAAUAAGGGCUACGUGUAGUCCGAUGAGAGUACCAUACGAAUAAGCACCGGCUAACUCCGUGCCAGCAGCCGCGGUAAUACGGAGGGUGCAAGCGUUAUCCGGAUUUAUUGGGUUUAAAGGGUGCGUAGGCGGUUUGAUAAGUCAGCGGUGAAAUAUUUCAGCUUAACUGGAAGGGUGCCGUUGAUACUGUCGAGCUUGAAUUUAGUUGCUGUGGGUGGAAUGUGUGGUGUAGCGGUGAAAUGCAUAGAUAUCACACAGAAUAUCGAUUGCGAAGGCAGCUCACAAAGCUAAUAUUGACGCUGAUGCACGAAAGUGUGGGGAUCAAACAGGAUUAGAUACCCUGGUAGUCCACACUGUAAACGAUGAUAACUCGCUGUCGGCGAUACAUAGUCGGUGGCCAAGCGAAAGC
rnacentral:rRNA from 1 species